AGCUCCAAAAGCGUAUAUUAAAGUUGUUGCAGUUAAAAAGCUCGUAGUUGAACCUUGGGCUUGGUUAGCCGGUCCGCCUUUUGGUGAGUACUGGAUCUAACCGAGCCUUUCCUUCUGGGUAACCUUUCUUUCGGGGAAGGCGAACCAGGACUUUUACUUUGAAAAAAUUAGAGUGUUCAAAACAGGCCUUUGCUCGAAUAUAUUAGCAUGGAAUAAUAGAAUAGGACGUUAUGGUUCUAUUUUGUUGGUUUCUAGGACCAUCGUAAUGAUUAAUAGGGACGGACGGGGGUAUCAGUAUUCAGUUGUCAGAGGUGAAAUUCUUGGAUUUACUGAAGACUAACUACUGCGAAAGCAUUUACCAAGCACGUUUUCA
rnacentral:rRNA from 1 species